rnacentral:rRNA from 1 species
ACGGAAGGCAGCAGUGGGGAAUAUUGCACAAUGGGGGAAACCCUGAUGCAGCGACGCCGCGUGAGUGAAGAAGUUAUUCGUAAUGUAAAGCUCUAUCAGCAGGGAAGAAAAUGACGGUACCUGACUAAGAGGCCCCGGCUAACUACGUGCCAGCAGCCGCGGUAAUACGUAGGGGGCAAGCGUUAUCCGGAUUUACUGGGUGUAAAGGGAGCGUAGACGGCUUAGCAAGUCUGAUGUGAAAGGCAGGGGCUCAACUCCUGGACUGCAUUGGAAACUGUUAAGCUGGAGUGCCGGAGAGGUAAGCGGAAUUCCUAGUGUAGCGGUGAAAUGCGUAGAUAUUAGGAGGAACACCAGUGGCGAAGGCGGCUUACUGGACGGUAACUGACGUUGAGGCUCGAAAGCGUGGGGAGCAAACAGGAUUAGAUACCCUGGUA